GGAUGAAUAUUGGACAAUGGGCGCAAGCCUGAUCCAGCCAUGCCGCGUGAGUGAUGAAGGCCUUCGGGUUGUAAAGCUCUUUCAGAUGCGAAGAUAAUGACGGUAACAUCAGAAGAAGCCCCGGCUAAAUUCGUGCCAGCAGCCGCGGUAAUACGAAUGGGGCAAGCGUUGUUCGGAAUCACUGGGCUUAAAGCGUGCGUAGGCGGAUUUGCAAGUCAGAAGUGAAAUCCCAGGGCUUAACCCUGGAAUU
rnacentral:rRNA from 1 species